rnacentral:tRNA from 1 species
AAAAGUUUAAGUUAAAAAAACUAAUAGCCUUCAAAGCUUUCAUUGUAGAUUAGAGUUCUAUAACUUUUG